GGGUUGUGAGGUUAAGCGACUAAGCGUACACGGUGGAUGCCCUGGCAGUCAGAGGCGAUGAAGGACGUGCUAAUCUGCGAUAAGCGUCGGUAAGGUGAUAUGAACCGUUAUAACCGGCGAUUUCCGAAUGGGGAAACCCAGUGUGUUUCGACACACUAUCAUUAACUGAAUCCAUAGGUUAAUGAGGCGAACCGGGGGAACUGAAACAUCUAAGUACCCCGAGGAAAAGAAAUCAACCGAGAUUCCCCCAGUAGCGGCGAGCGAACGGGGAGGAGCCCAGAGCCUGAAUCAGUGUGUGUGUUAGUGGAAGCGUCUGGAAAGGCGCGCGAUACAGGGUGACAGCCCCGUACACAAAAAUGCACAUGCUGUGAGCUCGAUGAGUAGGGCGGGACACGUGGUAUCCUGUCUGAAUAUGGGGGGACCAUCCUCCAAGGCUAAAUACUCCUGACUGACCGAUAGUGAACCAGUACCGUGAGGGAAAGGCGAAAAGAACCCCGGCGAGGGGAGUGAAAAAGAACCUGAAACCGUGUACGUACAAGCAGUGGGAGCACGCUUAGGCGUGUGACUGCGUACCUUUUGUAUAAUGGGUCAGCGACUUAUAUUCUGUAGCAAGGUUAACCGAAUAGGGGAGCCGAAGGGAAACCGAGUCUUAACUGGGCGUUAAGUUGCAGGGUAUAGACCCGAAACCCGGUGAUCUAGCCAUGGGCAGGUUGAAGGUUGGGUAACACUAACUGGAGGACCGAACCGACUAAUGUUGAAAAAUUAGCGGAUGACUUGUGGCUGGGGGUGAAAGGCCAAUCAAACCGGGAGAUAGCUGGUUCUCCCCGAAAGCUAUUUAGGUAGCGCCUCGUGAAUUCAUCUCCGGGGGUAGAGCACUGUUUCGGCAAGGGGGUCAUCCCGACUUACCAACCCGAUGCAAACUGCGAAUACCGGAGAAUGUUAUCACGGGAGACACACGGCGGGUGCUAACGUCCGUCGUGAAGAGGGAAACAACCCAGACCGCCAGCUAAGGUCCCAAAGUCAUGGUUAAGUGGGAAACGAUGUGGGAAGGCCCAGACAGCCAGGAUGUUGGCUUAGAAGCAGCCAUCAUUUAAAGAAAGCGUAAUAGCUCACUGGUCGAGUCGGCCUGCGCGGAAGAUGUAACGGGGCUAAACCAUGCACCGAAGCUGCGGCAGCGACGCUUAUGCGUUGUUGGGUAGGGGAGCGUUCUGUAAGCCUGUGAAGGUGUACUGUGAGGUAUGCUGGAGGUAUCAGAAGUGCGAAUGCUGACAUAAGUAACGAUAAAGCGGGUGAAAAGCCCGCUCGCCGGAAGACCAAGGGUUCCUGUCCAACGUUAAUCGGGGCAGGGUGAGUCGACCCCUAAGGCGAGGCCGAAAGGCGUAGUCGAUGGGAAACAGGUUAAUAUUCCUGUACUUGGUGUUACUGCGAAGGGGGGACGGAGAAGGCUAUGUUGGCCGGGCGACGGUUGUCCCGGUUUAAGCGUGUAGGCUGGUUUUCCAGGCAAAUCCGGAAAAUCAAGGCUGAGGCGUGAUGACGAGGCACUACGGUGCUGAAGCAACAAAUGCCCUGCUUCCAGGAAAAGCCUCUAAGCAUCAGGUAACAUCAAAUCGUACCCCAAACCGACACAGGUGGUCAGGUAGAGAAUACCAAGGCGCUUGAGAGAACUCGGGUGAAGGAACUAGGCAAAAUGGUGCCGUAACUUCGGGAGAAGGCACGCUGAUAUGUAGGUGAAGUCCCUCGCGGAUGGAGCUGAAAUCAGUCGAAGAUACCAGCUGGCUGCAACUGUUUAUUAAAAACACAGCACUGUGCAAACACGAAAGUGGACGUAUACGGUGUGACGCCUGCCCGGUGCCGGAAGGUUAAUUGAUGGGGUUAGCGGUAACGCGAAGCUCUUGAUCGAAGCCCCGGUAAACGGCGGCCGUAACUAUAACGGUCCUAAGGUAGCGAAAUUCCUUGUCGGGUAAGUUCCGACCUGCACGAAUGGCGUAAUGAUGGCCAGGCUGUCUCCACCCGAGACUCAGUGAAAUUGAACUCGCUGUGAAGAUGCAGUGUACCCGCGGCAAGACGGAAAGACCCCGUGAACCUUUACUAUAGCUUGACACUGAACAUUGAGCCUUGAUGUGUAGGAUAGGUGGGAGGCUUUGAAGUGUGGACGCCAGUCUGCAUGGAGCCGACCUUGAAAUACCACCCUUUAAUGUUUGAUGUUCUAACGUUGACCCGUAAUCCGGGUUGCGGACAGUGUCUGGUGGGUAGUUUGACUGGGGCGGUCUCCUCCUAAAGAGUAACGGAGGAGCACGAAGGUUGGCUAAUCCUGGUCGGACAUCAGGAGGUUAGUGCAAUGGCAUAAGCCAGCUUGACUGCGAGCGUGACGGCGCGAGCAGGUGCGAAAGCAGGUCAUAGUGAUCCGGUGGUUCUGAAUGGAAGGGCCAUCGCUCAACGGAUAAAAGGUACUCCGGGGAUAACAGGCUGAUACCGCCCAAGAGUUCAUAUCGACGGCGGUGUUUGGCACCUCGAUGUCGGCUCAUCACAUCCUGGGGCUGAAGUAGGUCCCAAGGGUAUGGCUGUUCGCCAUUUAAAGUGGUACGCGAGCUGGGUUUAGAACGUCGUGAGACAGUUCGGUCCCUAUCUGCCGUGGGCGCUGGAGAACUGAGGGGGGCUGCUCCUAGUACGAGAGGACCGGAGUGGACGCAUCACUGGUGUUCGGGUUGUCAUGCCAAUGGCACUGCCCGGUAGCUAAAUGCGGAAGAGAUAAGUGCUGAAAGCAUCUAAGCACGAAACUUGCCCCGAGAUGAGUUCUCCCUGACUCCUUGAGAGUCCUGAAGGAACGUUGAAGACGACGACGUUGAUAGGCCGGGUGUGUAAGCGCAGCGAUGCGUUGAGCUAACCGGUACUAAUGAACCGUGAGGCUUAACCUUACAACGCCGAAG
rnacentral:rRNA from 1 species